AGCCAUCAUUUAAAGAGUGCGUAAUAGCUCACUAGUCGAGUGACACUGCGCCGAAAAUGUACCGGGGCUAAACAUAUUACCGAAGCUGUGGAUUGUCCUUUGGACAAUGGUAGGAGAGCGUUCUAAGGGCGUUGAAGCAUGAUCGUAAGGACAUGUGGAGCGCUUAGAAGUGAGAAUGCCGGUGUGAGUAGCGAAAGACGGGUGAGAAUCCCGUCCACCGAUUGACUAAGGUUUCCAGAGGAAGGCUCGUCCGCUCUGGGUUAGUCGGGUCCUAAGCUGAGGCCGACAGGCGUAGGCGAUGGAUAACAGGUUGAUAUUCCUGUACCACCUAUAAUCGUUUUAAUCGAUGGGGGGACGCAGUAGGAUAGGCGAAGCGUGCGAUUGGAUUGCACGUCUAAGCAGUAAGGCUGAGUAUUAGGCAAAUCCGGUACUCGUUAAGGCUGAGCUGUGAUGGGGAGAAGACAUUGUGUCUUCGAGUCGUUGAUUUCACACUGCCGAGAAAAGCCUCUAGAUAGAAAAUAGGUGCCCGUACCGCAAACCGACACAGGUAGUCAAGAUGAGAAUUCUAAGGUGAGCGAGCGAACUCUCGUUAAGGAACUCGGCAAAAUGACCCCGUAACUUCGGGAGAAGGGGUGCUCUUUAGGGUUAACGCCCAGAAGAGCCGCAGUGAAUAGGCCCAAGCGACUGUUUAUCAAAAACACAGGUCUCUGCUAAACCGUAAGGUGAUGUAUAGGGGCUGACGCCUGCCCGGUGCUGGAAGGUUAAGAGGAGUGGUUAGCUUCUGCGAAGCUACGAAUCGAAGCCCCAGUAAACGGCGGCCGUAACUAUAACGGUCCUAAGGUAGCGAAAUUCCUUGUCGGGUAAGUUCCGACCCGCACGAAAGGCGUAACGAUUUGGGCACUGUCUCAACGAGAGACUCGGUGAAAUCAUAGUACCUGUGAAGAUGCAGGUUACCCGCGACAGGACGGAAAGACCCCGUGGAGCUUUACUGUAGCCUGAUAUUGAAAUUCGGCACAGCUUGUACAGGAUAGGUAGGAGCCUUUGAAACGUGAGCGCUAGCUUACGUGGAGGCGCUGGUGGGAUACUACCCUAGCUGUGUUGGCUUUCUAACCCGCACCACUUAUCGUGGUGGGAGACAGUGUCAGGCGGGCAGUUUGACUGGGGCGGUCGCCUCCUAAAAGGUAACGGAGGCGCUCAAAGGUUCCCUCAGAAUGGUUGGAAAUCAUUCAUAGAGUGUAAAGGCAUAAGGGAGCUUGACUGCGAGACCUACAAGUCGAGCAGGGUCGAAAGACGGACUUAGUGAUCCGGUGGUUCCGCAUGGAAGGGCCAUCGCUCAACGGAUAAAAGCUACCCCGGGGAUAACAGGCUUAUCUCCCCCAAGAGUUCACAUCGACGGGGAGGUUUGGCACCUCGAUGUCGGCUCAUCGCAUCCUGGGGCUGUAGUCGGUCCCAAGGGUUGGGCUGUUCGCCCAUUAAAGCGGUACGCGAGCUGGGUUCAGAACGUCGUGAGACAGUUCGGUCCCUAUCCGUCGUGGGCGUAGGAAAUUUGAGAGGAGCUGUCCUUAGUACGAGAGGACCGGGAUGGACAUACCUCUGGUGUACCAGUUGUCGUGCCAACGGCAUAGCUGGGUAGCUAUGUGUGGACGGGAUAAGUGCUGAAAGCAUCUAAGCAUGAAGCCCCCCUCAAGAUGAGAUUUCCCAACUUCGGUUAUAAGAUCCCUCAAAGAUGAUGAGGUUAAUAGGUUCGAGGUGGAAGCAUGGUGACAUGUGGAGCUGACGAAUACUAAUCGAUCGAAGACUUAAUCAA
rnacentral:rRNA from 1 species